rnacentral:rRNA from 1 species
UCCUGGCUCAGAUUGAACGCUGGCGGCAUGCCUUACACAUGCAAGUCGAACGGCAGCACGGGAGCUUGCUCCUGGUGGCGAGUGGCGAACGGGUGAGUAAUACAUCGGAACGUACCCAGGAGUGGGGGAUAACGUAGCGAAAGUUACGCUAAUACCGCAUAUUCUGUGAGCAGGAAAGCGGGGGAUCGCAAGACCUCGCGCUCUUGGAGCGGCCGAUGUCGGAUUAGCUAGUUGGUGAGGUAAAAGCUCACCAAGGCGACGAUCCGUAGCAGGUCUGAGAGGAUGAUCUGCCACACUGGGACUGAGACACGGCCCAGACUCCUACGGGAGGCAGCAGUGGGGAAUUUUGGACAAUGGGGGCAACCCUGAUCCAGCCAUGCCGCGUGAGUGAAGAAGGCCUUCGGGUUGUAAAGCUCUUUCGGCGGGGAAGAAAUGGCAACGGCUAAUAUCCGUUGUUGAUGACGGUACCCGCAUAAGAAGCACCGGCUAACUACGUGCCAGCAGCCGCGGUAAUACGUAGGGUGCGAGCGUUAAUCGGAAUUACUGGGCGUAAAGCGUGCGCAGGCGGUUUCGUAAGACAGACGUGAAAUCCCCGGGCUCAA